rnacentral:rRNA from 1 species
AUUGAACGCUGGCGGCAUGCCUUACACAUGCAAGUCGAACGGUAACAGGUUAAGCUGACGAGUGGCGAACGGGUGAGUAAUACAUCGGAACGUGCCCAGUAGUGGGGGAUAGCCCGGCGAAAGCCGGAUUAAUACCGCAUACGACCUAAGGGUGAAAGGGGGGGAUCGCAAGACCUCUCGCUAUUGGAGCGGCCGAUGUCAGAUUAGGUAGUUGGUGGGGUAAAGGCCCACCAAGCCGACGAUCUGUAGCUGGUCUGAGAGGACGACCAGCCACACUGGGACUGGGACACGGCUCAGACUCCUACGGGGGGCAGCGAUGGGGAAUUUUGGAAAGGGGGCGCAAGCCUGGUCCAGCCAUGCCGCGUGCGGGAAGAAGGCCUUCGGGUUGUAAACCGCUUUUGUCAGGGAAGAAAUCCUUUGGGUUAAUACCUCGGGGGGAUGACGGUACCUGAAGAAUAAGCACCGGCUAACUACGUGCCAGCAGCCGCCGUAA